rnacentral:rRNA from 1 species
GACGAACGCUGGCGGCGGGCUUAACACAUGCAAGUCGAACGAGAAAGGGUCCUUCGGGACCUGAGUAAAGUGGCGCACGGGUGAGUAACGCGUAGACAACCUACCCUCAGGUGAGGAAUAACUACGGGAAACCGUAGCUAAUACCACAUAAUGUCAGAUGGCCGCAUGGCCGACUGAUCAAAGCUUUAUGUGCCGGAGGAUGGGUCUGCGUUGGAUUAGCUAGUUGGUAGGGUAAUGGCCUACCAAGGCAACGAUCCAUAGCGGGUCUGAGAGGAUGAUCCGCCACACUGGCACUGAGACACGGGCCAGACUCCUACGGGAGGCAGCAGUGAGGAAUCUUAGACAAUGGGGGCAACCCUGAUCUAGCCAUGCCGCGUGAGUGACGAAGGCCCUAGGGUCGUAAAGCUCUUUUCGCCAGGGAUGAUAAUGACAGUACCUGGUAAA